rnacentral:tRNA from 1 species
GCCGGUGUAACUCAGCCUGGUUAGAGUGCUUCGCUCAUAACGCAGUUGUCGCGUGUUCAAAUCACGCCACCGGCA